UACGGAGGAGGCAAGCGUUAUCCGGAAUUAUUGGGCGUAAAGCGUCCGCAGGUGGCACCUCAAGUCUGCUGUCAAAGACCGGGGCUUAACCCCAGAAAGGCAGUGGAAACUGAAGUGCUAGAGUGCAGUAGGGGUAGAGGGAAUUCCCGGUGUAGCGGUGAAAUGCGCAGAUAUCAGGAGGAACACCAGUGGCGAAGGCGGUGCUCUGGGCCGGUACUGACGCUGAGGAGCGAAAGCGUGGGGAGCAAACAGG
rnacentral:rRNA from 1 species